AUGGGGGGGGGGGGGGUGAGAGGCAAGUGCGUGGAAAAAUGCGUAAACCCAGGGAAAAAAAAGAGUUUCAGAACAGUGAGGAAGUGGGAUAAGCAACGAGGAAGAAGAAAAGGACAGAAUGCGAAAGAACUAUGGAAGACAAAAAGAGGUGUCUGAAAGGAAACAGUAAAAGCGAGGCAGCAGACUUUCCAACAGCAGGAAGGCGGCACAAAGAUUACUCCGACCAAACGGAAUACAUUGAGAAGCAACAAAUGGAUAGACUUCUUUAAAGUACUGGAAGGUGCAUAGCGGCGAGCACGAGGAAGAUACAAAUGCUUUAACGUACUUCAAAUACAACAUCAGAGAGGGGGGGGGGGGAGGACCGUGAGAUCUGAAGAAGUUGGAACGAGCAAUUGUGCACGAAAGGGUGAAGAAAUUCAAUACAAGUCGCCUGGCGCGAAGAGGAAGUUUGGAAGGCAAUGUGCUUGCAGUAACUGACGAUGGUGUGUGUGCUUGUAUUUGCGUGGACUUCUUCGGUGCAGAGUUUCAAAAGAGGUAAAUGACAAACUGAGUGAGUGCGCACAGAGGAGCCCUGUUGAAGCCUGGAGGACCAGUGGAUUGGAUAAUUAAUGCAAAAUGACUGAUGGCUGUUGAAGAAGGCAAGUCCUGCAAAGAGGAUUGUGCGUGAUCAAUGAAGCAUCACUGAUUGACGGUUUCCUUCGAUCUUACACCCAGAUCCAACUACCGGAACGAGGACUUGUCACCAGAGGCCGGAGGCUACUCUUUGCAUGCUUGCGAGGCAACGCAAAACACACACAAAAAAGGGAAGAGAAACAGGACGCUUCUUAAAAACUGUUUUGCAAAAAAAAAGCGCAGGAGGGGACUAUAGGGUUCCAAAUUUAGGAAUAGGGAGCACGUGGAUACACCGUGGAAAGAAAUCCCAAGCUCGGCUGGUGUGAAAGCGAUUUCUCUACCGUUAUCUUCCCCUGACAAGUGAAUUUCUGCCGCUUGAUUCUUGAUAGCAAGAGUGUGUGAAUGCUGAGCUCCGACUCUGAACCUGCUUGGGGAGCCACCACGUAGACGGCGUAAUCGCCCUGAUGCUUAAGUAAGCACUGUGUAAUGGGAGUACAGGAACAAUAUAAACUGCUCGGCCGCGAGCUCUCAAAUCAACUUGAGGAGAUGAGAUGGCCUCUCCAACAAAUUCUGGGCCUAUAAAAAUAUUAAACAAAUGGCUUAGGUUCUAAUCUGGAUUCCUCAGUCAGACAUUCCCAUAGAAAUAUGGACACUCUCAGCUUUGUCGCUAAAUUUAGCAAUUGAGAGCGUCUACUUUAUGGCGCGCGAGUGUAUUUUAUUACAAAUAUAUGUCGUCAGUAAUCAAAGAAAUUGGUCUCCUUAACAUCAGAAUUUCACUAACAUUUAACUUCACAGAGCAAUAUAAUUUAAGUCAACAAUUUCUAUCGAUUGUACAUUUGCAGGAGAAAGAUCCCAAUAACUACAGAUUUAAUUCCUGUUUGCUCAAUAAGUUUUUUUUAGCAUUUUAUUAUAAAUUCUAAUGUUAUUGCAGGGCAAAGGCGGGCUAGCUUAUUUUAUUCGAGUAAGUUAUUAGCAUUUCCUCUUGUGGAUAUUGUUGCUUCGGUAGAUUUUUUAAAUGGAUUUGGCAAUUUCUGAUUAGAUCCGUCACGAUCGUUCAUUUACGGGAGAGGACUCACGUGCCCCAAAUGUAUGUGUGCGAGGUGCGAUUAAACCUUCAACUGGAGAUAAAAUGUUUUGAGUUUUUCUUUUUCUGUCCAUGAGUAAUUAUUUAAACAAUUGUUUAAUUUGUUUUGCAUUUGCGCGACAAGUGAGCAGCUUAUUUCUGACAAUAUAUCAGAUUUUCUUUAAAAUUAACAAGACUUUUAGCCCACGCUUUUUGUCGCCUAGCCUUGCUUUCCGUUUGAUAUGCACGCUUUAACUGUGGAGGUUCCUGUUUCAGUGGUCGCUAGUUUAAAGGUGCAGGGGAAAUAAACUCGAGCGUUCCUAACACAAAAAAAACUUGUUGUGCUUAAACUAAAAGGAUUUUAUGACUUGCCGGAGUUGUUAAUUAUCAAUUUAUUGCAUAGCAAUAUGACGAAAACACAAUCGAUGCUGAAUAUGCACGGUGGUUAUUAGCAAUCGCUAUCUGUUGAUGAAUUUAUGUAUUGUAGUGAAUUUAAUUACCGAUCUAAAUAAAUGAUAUACACUGCG